UACGUGGGGUGCGAGCGUUGUUCGGAAUUACUGGGCGUAAAGGGCUCGUAGGCGGCCAACUAAGUCAGACGUGAAAUCCCUCAGCUUAACUGGGGAACUGCGUCUGAUACUGGAUGGCUUGGAUUUGGGAGAGGGAUGCGGAAUUCCAGGUGUAGCGGUGAAAUGCGUAGAUAUCUGGAGGAACACCGGUGGCGAAGGCGGCAUCCUGGACCAAUAUUGACGCUGAGGAGCGAAAGCCAGGGGAGCAAACGGG
rnacentral:rRNA from 1 species